UCCGACGGUCGAGCCUCCGCAAUGUUCUCGAGUUCUGCCGACGGAUAAACCCCCACUAGUGUUGACUAAAUUCACCACGAUGGACGGACUCCAUCCAGGUGUCUAUGGUGGUCGACCACCUUCUAGACUCUGUCCGGGCUCCUACGGGAGCUGGACUUCUCCCCCGAACUCCAAUUGCAAGUAGACUCUGUCCGGGCUCCUACGGGAGUCGAACUUCUUCCCCGAACUCCAACUACAGGUAGCCUUCAUCCGGGCUCCCACAAGAGUCGGACCUCUUCCCCGAACGCCAACUGCAGGUAGACUCCGUCCGGGCUCCUACGGGAGUCGAACUUCUUCCCUGAACUCCGACUGCAGGUAGACUUCAUCGAAACUCCUACAAGAGCCGGACUCCGAGCUUCUACUGCAAGUGAUCCACUCUGAGCUUCUGCUACAAACGAUCUACUUUAAAUUUCCACUACGAGCGGUCCGCAUCGGAUUUCCACUGUAAGCCUUCACCCGAGCUUCCAUUGUGAACGAAUUCCUUCCAGAUUUCUAUUGCAGGCAGGCUUCGAUCGAGAUUCCUCGACAAAUGAUCCCCAUCCGGGCUUUCACGGAGAUCGGACUCCGACCAAACUUCUGUAGCGGACAGAUUUCGGGCGAACUCCUACGACACACGAAAUCCAGCAGCUGGACCCCUCCAGCGGGUGAACCUCUCCAGCGCCAUCCGACAUCCACUGUCGGUCGACCCUCUGUCGAAUUCUGUGCGAAACUGAACUUCGUCUGUGGAAAGCC
rnacentral:lncRNA from 1 species